rnacentral:rRNA from 1 species
AGUGGCGGUGCUCUCAUGCUCUACGCGUAGUAACUUUUCUCGCUAUAGGGUCCUGGGAGAUGCUAGCCAACAACCCCAAAUUUUUUCAGGUUGACCUCGGAUCAGGUAGGGAUACCCGCUGAACUUAAGCAUAUCAAUAAGCGGAGGAAAAGAAACCAACAGGGAUUACCUCAGUAACGGCGAGUGAAGCGGUAACAGCUCAAAUUUGAAAUCUGGCUCUUUUAGGGUCCGAGUUGUAAUUUGUAGAAGAUGCUUUGGGUGUGGCUCCGGUCUAAGUUCCUUGGAACAGGACGUCAUAGAGGGUGAGAAUCCCGUAUGUGACUGGUAGCUUUCGCCCGUGUAAAGCUCUUUCGACGAGUCGAGUUGUUUGGGAAUGCAGCUCAAAAUGGGUGGUAAAUUUCAUCUAAAGCUAAAUAUUGGCCAGAGACCGAUAGCGCACAAGUAGAGUGAUCGAAAGAUGAAAAGCACUUUGGAAAGAGAGUUAAACAGUACGUGAAAUUGUUGAAAGGGAAGCGCUUGCAACCAGACUCGCAGGCCGUCGAUCAUCCUGGGUUCUCCCUGGUGCACUCGGCGGUUUUCGGGCCAGCAUCAGUUUGGGUGGUGGGAUAAAGGCCUUGGGAAUGUAGCUUCUUUCGGGGAGUGUUAUAGCCCUCGGUGCAAUGCCGCCUA